rnacentral:rRNA from 1 species
GUGUAUGGCCAUAUUACCCUGAACACGCCUAAUUUUGUUUGUUCUUGGAAGCUAAGCAGGGUUGGGCCUGGUUAGUUCUUGGAUGGGAGACCACCAGGGAAUACUGGAUACUCUAGGCU